rnacentral:lncRNA from 1 species
CUUUAUCUACAGAUUAAUAGGCUGAAACACCAACACCAUGAUUUUCAGACCCUACCAACUCUAUAAUUCUAUAAGAUCCAAUACCUGCUAGAUUGUUCCACAACACCAAUGUCCAAGUCAAUACCAUAUAUUAUCCACUGAAAUGUCUGAUUUAAUAUCAUAUGCAAAAUCAUUAGAGCAAUGUGCUCUCCUUUACCCAUAUUGUGUACCACAGAACAUUAUGAACAUUAGGGGAGGAUUAGCCUGUAGCUAUUUUAGAUCGUGCACCAAAUACUUAGAACAAGGUUGAAAUCCGCAAGAGUCGUAUAGAAAUUUCUGCAAUCAAUAUCAUACCUGAUCCAUGUACGGCAGCCUCUAAAUAAGCAACAUAAGUCCACAGUCCAUAAGUAUGUAGGCUACGCUCCAAUUUGAUGUAUCAUGCAAUUUUGCAAUACUCGGAUAGUUUUGUAAAGCAUACAGAUACUGCAUUGGAGGGCUAUAAGCUUCAUUAAUCAGAAAAUAUGUAGACCGCAGCUGAGAUCGUAACUAAGUGACACAACACAUGGUACGAUAGCUAAAGGAGAG